GGUCAGGAUGAACGCUGGCGGCGUGCUUAACACAUGCAAGUCGAACGGAGUUUUUAACGGAAGUUUCGGAUGGAAGUUUAGAAACUUAGUGGCGGACGGGUGAGUAACGCGUGGGUAACCUGCCUCAUACAGGGGGAUAACAGUUAGAAAUGACUGCUAACACCGCAUAAUAUAGCGAAACCGCAUGAUUUUGCUAUCAAAUAUUUAUAGGUAUGAGAUGGGCCCGCGUCUGAUUAGCUAGUUGGUGGGGUAAAGGCCUACCAAGGCGACGAUCAGUAGCCGGCUUGAGAGAGUGACCGGCCACAUUGGGACUGAGACACGGCCCAAACUCCUACGGGAGGCAGCAGUGGGGAAUAUUGGACAAUGGGGGAAACCCUGAUCCAGCGAACCGCCGCGUGAGUGAAGAAGUAUUUCGGUAUGUAAAGCUCUAUCAGCAGGGAAGAUAAUGACAGUACCUGACUAAGAAGCCCCGGCUAACUACGUGCCAGCAGCGGC
rnacentral:rRNA from 1 species